UCAACUGUGAGUGGUUAGGAUUCGUGGUUUUCACCCACGCGGCCCGGGUUCGAUUCCCGGCAUGGGAA